CUGGCCUACGGGACGCAGCAGUAGGGAAUCUUCCACAAUGGGCGAAAGCCUGAUGGAGCAACGCCGCGUGGGUGAAGAAGGUCUUCGGAUCGUAAAACCCUGUUGUUAGUGAAGAAAGAUAGAGGUAGUAACUGGCCUUUAUUUGACGGUAAUUACUUAGAAAGUCACGGCUAACUACGUGCCAGCAGCCGCGGUAAUACGUAGGUGGCAAGCGUUGUCCGGAUUUAUUGGGCGUAAAGCGAGUGCAGGCGGUUCAAUAAGUCUGAUGUGAAAGCCUU
rnacentral:rRNA from 1 species